CACAAGCCAAUGAGAUCUGAGUUACCACUGCCUCACUGGUGGUCAUAGGCCAGAGUAUUAACCAUGGUGGGGAAAAGUCUGGUCUGUCGCGUAACCUGUGGGCUCAAUUUCACCUAUGUACCUCUGUAUCUUCCCCGUCAUUUUAAGUUUUCCCCUGCACCACAAGCACCGAAUGCCUGGAAACAACAUUUUACAGAUUUCCUUGGUGGGAGGUAUCUGUUUGGAUAUCACCGGGGACAGCACUUUCCAAGGUUUGCAAGAGGCAUAAGGAAAAAUACGCUCCGACCAGUUGGGAAAAAAAAAUGAUCUUUUAAGAAAUAUGUGAAGAAUGUUCAGGAAAGGCUCAGUGUAACUAAAUCUCAUCUGGAUAUGUCUUGUCCAAGUACAUGCUGCCUACAGUAGACUCACUUCAUCUUUAAGGGCACACAUCAGUUGGAGUAAGGGAAUGGAAGAAAAGAUAUUCCCAUGAAAGUGGAAACCAAAAGGCAACAGGAGUAGCUGUACUUAUAUCAGACAAAAUAGACUUUAGGCCAAAAACCAUAACAAAGUGACAGAAUGUUUUUAUAUAAUGAUAAAAGGGUCAGUUCAUUGUGAGGAUAUAACAACUCUAAAGACUCUAAAUACAUAACACACUUACAAGCAUUUACAAAUCCCUCCAGAAUCUAUCCUCCCAUCUCCUGUUGACUCUCUGACAUCAUAUUCUGCUCCUCUCCCCACCUUGUUUCUUCACUGCAGUCACAAUGAUCUCCCUGUUGUUUUUCAGACAUGUCAGGAUGCUCCUGCCUUUAAGUCUUUUCACUUGCUAGUUACUUCACCUGGUAUUUUCUUCCCUUAGAAAUAAGCAAGGCUCAGUCCCUCAACCCCUUCAAUUUUUUGCUCAAAUAUUUCUUUCUGAUUAUGGCUUUCCCUGACCACCCAGUUUAAAACUGUACACAUAUACCAAUUCUGGUCUCACUUGAUUUCUCAUUGCUGCUCUACUUUUAUUAAUAGGACCUAGCACCUUCUAAUAAGACAAGAAUUUAUCUUU